rnacentral:rRNA from 1 species
AACGAACGCUGGCGGCAUGCCUAACACAUGCAAGUCGAACGGUGCCUUCGGGCACAGUGGCGCACGGGUGAGUAACACGUGGGAACCUGCCUUUCGGUUCGGAACAACGUCUGGAAACGGACGCUAACGCCGGAUACGCCCAUCCAGCGAUGGAUGGGGAAAGUUUACGCCGAGAGAGGGGCCCGCGCCGGAUUAGGUAGUUGGUGGGGUAACGGCCUACCAAGCCGACGAUCCGUAGCUGGUCUGAGAGGAUGAUCAGCCACACUGGGACUGAGACACGGCCCAGACUCCUACGGGAGGCAGCAGUGGGGAAUAUUGGACAAUGGGCGCAAGCCUGAUCCAGCAAUGCCGCGUGAGUGAUGAAGGCCUUAGGGUUGUAAAGCUCUUUCGCACGCGACGAUGAUGACGGUAGCGUGAGAAGAAGCCCCGGCUAACUUCGUGCCAGCAGCCGCGGUAAGUACUGACUCA